GAUGAACGCUGGCGGCGUGCCUAAUACAUGCAAGUCGAGCGAACAGACGAGGAGCUUGCUCCUCUGACGUUAACGGCGGACGGGUGAGUAACACGUGGAUAACCUACCUAUAAGACUGGGAUAACUUCGGGAAACCGGAGCUAAUACCGGAUAAUAUAUUGAACCGCAUGGUUCAAUAGUGAAAGACGGUUUUGCUGUCACUUAUAGAUGGAUCCGCGCCGCAUUAGCUAGUUGGUAAGGUAACGGCUUACCAAGGCAACGAUGCGUAGCCGACCUGAGAGGGUGAUCGGCCACACUGGAACUGAGACACGGUCCAGACUCCUACGGGAGGCAGCAGUAGGGAAUCUUCCGCAAUGGGCGAAAGCCUGACGGAGCAACGCCGCGUGAGUGAUGAAGGUCUUCGGAUCGUAAAACUCUGUCAUUAGGGAAGAACAAAUGUGUAAGUAACUAUGCACGUCUUGACGGUACCUAAUCAGAAAGCCACGGCUAACUACGUG
rnacentral:rRNA from 1 species